rnacentral:lncRNA from 1 species
AGCCAGGCAGUUCAAGAGUUCGUUGGCCACCAUGUCUUCAGCUUCGUUAGUUAAGAGCUUCAACCUCACCUCCUCCGCCCUCUCUCGUGCCACCAGCAGGAAACCUAGUUGUAUUUCUGCCAGGAUCAGCACUUCUUCUUCUUCUAGAUCUCCUCCUCCAAACCUCAUCCAAAACAAGCCUGUUACCUCCGUUCCUGCUAUCACUCGGGUACUCUCUAGAUCCUUCAACUCAUCAUGUGUACAUUAGUUUCAAGUAGUGUAUAUGACAAUGUGACUGCCCUAGGCUCUGCACUCUGGCUACAUCGAAAACCUGACGAUAGUCACUGACACUAUCAGUUUCAAAGAGCGGGAUGUGUAAAAGGUCUACUAGCUGGUUGCAUGCAUGUAAAUAUGACGAUACAACCACUAUUAUGCCUUUUACCUAUCCCAUUCUGUGCCACUAAGUGCCCGUGAUUAUUGUCAGUUUCUUUUGCAGUGGCUGCGGUUGUCUGAAAAUAUAUGUAUUGCAGCUUCAUAAAUAUUUACGGCCCUGGUAGCUCUUUGGUUCACGUGGUGAAACCGGGAUAGGUAGAGAACUCUACUGGUGUACAAUACCAGACUUGAACACGUUUGAUUUUACAUGUUCAUUAUCAUCGAUGAUUAAUCAGUGUUCUUAUCACACAACUAAUCCUCUGCUUAUCGGGAUGACGUGCACGCUGUUCAUUGAUUCAACAUCCUUUAAAAAUGACACAUGUAUGGUUUGAAUCUAAGUAAAUAUAAAAGAUAAAUGACACAUGUAUGGUACUAAUUUUCCCUAAUCGAUAUUUAGGUGAAAUAAAAAGGUAUAAAGAAAGAAGUACAUGUUAACAAAUUAAAUGUUAACAUAUUAUUUGCGUGUGUGAACAAUAAUUAGAAAGAAGAAAUGGCAAAGGAGUACGAAGAGGCCAUUGCAUCUCUCCAGAAACUUCUCAGUGAGAAGGAGGAGCUGAGAGUUGAAGCGGCUGCGAAGGUGGAGCAGGUUACAGCCGAGCUUGCGACAGCCGAGGCCAGCGGCGCCACCAAGCCUUAUGACGCCGCUGAGAGGCUCAAGAGCGGCUUCAUUCACUUCAAGAAGGAGAAAUACGAGUAUGCUCUCUUUUUACUAAAUAGAAGAUUAAAUGAGAUUAGCUUCCGACUCACAGUCAUAUAUAUAUAUAUAUAUAUAUGAAGUUGAGGACAAAUUAAUUCGAUACUAUGUUUUUGUAUCACAUUUUUAUACCAUCUUAGGUGAUAUUUGAUUUGGACAACCACAUCAUUUGAAUUAAUUAGAUUUUUAAAUUUAGUUCAUUAUUUAAUAAACUAAUAAUUAAAAAAAACUAGUUAAUUAAAUGAUGAUUGUGAUAUAUGAGGAGUCUUUCUCCUUCAUUUCCUUGGGUUUUGUAAAUUUUUCAAAUGAUGUGGCUGUACACAUUAGAUGUCACCUAAGAUGGUAUAAAAAUAUAAUAUAAAAACAUGGUAUGAAUAUCAUUGCUCGAUUAAUUAUAACCAUUUUCUUCCUUAAUUUAACAGCAAGAAUCCAGCUCUGUACGGUGAACUUGCCAAAGGACAAUGGCCCAAGUUUAUGAUGUUUGCAUGCUCGGAUUCUCGAGUUUGCCCAUCACAUGUUCUGGAUAUGCAGCCGGGAGAGGCUUUUGUUGUCCGCACAGUUGCUAACUUGGUCCCACCCUAUGAUAAGGUUUACAUAUUUCCUCAGACUUUUUAUGCGUUCUGUCACAACAAAACGUGGCUCUUUGUGUGGGAGGUAGAUUCUGCCCCUGGGCCAUAUCCAUCUCCUUCUAUUAUAUGUGAUCACGGUUAAGCCACGUUAACAUUUUAUAAUAAUUUUUUUAUAAACAUAAUAAGACAAAAAGUAAUAAGAAUAUAAAAUUUUGAUGUGACUUAACCGUAAUCGUACAAAUAGAAAAUGAUGGGAAGAGCACCCAAACAGGAGAGCAGACAAUCUGCCUCCUUUUGUUUGUCCCUAUAUAUAUAUAUAUAUAUAAUAUUAAACGAGAUUUUAAUUUAAUUUUUUUCUGUGUAUGUGUUAAUAGGUUAAAUACGCUGGGACAGGGGCGGCCAUUGAGUAUGCUGUCUUGCAUCUCAAGGUAAUUAAUCCAUGCAUUUUGGUUUUGUUUCUUAGUUUUGUAAUAAUUAAUCGUAUUUAGCUAAAUGCUGUUUUCAUUGUAAUAUUAAUCUUGUGUAUGUAAUAUAUGUAUUUAUAGGUUUCAUACAUAGUGGUGAUUGGGCACAGUGCCUGUGGAGGAAUCAAGGCACUCUUGUCUAUUCCAGAAGAUGGGUCUACCCUCGGCACGUAAGCAAGCAAUCCACUCUUAUCAUCUCGUUUGAAAUUACUUGUUUGGAAGUGCUUUUAAAAUGAUUGAAAACGUUUUUGAUGAAAAUAUGUUUGAAACCAAUUUCUAGUAAAAAAUUCAAGUGGAUCAUGAAAUAGCACUUGGUUUGGCAUUGUUGUGCUUUGAAAAAAAACUGUUUUUGCUGUGAUGUGAGAAUAAACAGCUAUGAAAUAAAGCAGCAGAGUGUUUGGUAAACUUUUUCGUAAAAGUGCUUUUGAAAAAAAAAAGCAGUAUUAUUGUGUUUGAUAAACUUUUAUGUGAAAAAAAGCUGGUUUUUCAAAGCUGGGUUUUGCAGCUUUGUGUUUUUUGCUUUUUUUUCACAAAAAACUGUGAAAAAAAGCUGAAGCUGAAUGUUUACCAAUUAUAAAAAAGCUCCCAACUUGAUAGCCACUUUUUUCAGAAUCACCACAGUACCAAAUCAGGGUUAAGUGCCUCAUGCAAAAAACAUAUAUAUGAUAUUUCUUCCAAAAAGUACUUAAAAUGCUGGAACCCAAAAUCAUUCUCAUCAAAAACAUUUUUAAUCAUUUUAAAUACACAAGCUCAAAUUGUUUUUGUUAGAAGUGCUUUUAGUGUAAACAAGUCAAAAUUUUCAUUUAAAGUCUAAGUGCUUUUAGUUGUUCUUCCAGAAAGCACUUUUACGAGCCAAAAACAUCUUUAACAUUUGCUGCCAAAAGAACUCUCAACUGUUUUUGGUUGUUAGAAAGUACUUCUUGCUCUUCCAAAAACAACCCCAAACAAAUUAAAAUAACACCUAUUUAUUAUCUUAAUUACGAAAUGAUGAAUGGCUGCAUGAUGAAUGGAUGGUGCAGUGACGUCAUAGAAGACUGGAUUCGUAUUGGAUCGCCGGCAGCGAAGAAGGUGAAGGCAGAUCACGGUCCUGAUACUCCUUUCCCUGAACUAUGCAGUCGUUGCGAAAAGGUUUGUACCGAUACAUGAAUGCACUUUAUUUACUGGUUAGCACCGUAUUAACUUACUAACUCACUGAAACGAGUGCAGGAGGCGGUGAAUGUAUCGAUCGGAAACCUGCUGAGCUAUCCGUUUGUGAGAGAGGGUUUGCUGAAGAAAACCCUAGCAAUCAAGGGAGGAUACUAUGACUUUAUCAAUGGACAUUUUGAGCUCUGGGAUGUUGAUUUCAGCCUCAACCCCAACUUCUCCGUAUGAUCGUAAUCACAUAAUUCCCAUGCAACUCAAUUGCUUCCUAAUUAAUUAUCAUUAAGUACUUCUAAUUUAUUUCUUAAUUUCAUCUGCAAUGUCCCCGGAAGCACGUCUGCAAAUGUAACCGAUAUUUCGCAGCAAUAAUUAUAAUUUCCUCGAGCUUGUAAUUACCUGGUUUGCAAAUAAGUAAAGGGAAUGGUUUUGCUCACUGCUCUCAAGUGGUGGUGAUGCUUACCAUCUUAUUUAUCACCGUUGGAUUGUGUUUAAAUUUUAAAAUUUGUGUAGUGGAUGAGAUCCACGUUGGCUCCUUUUGUUUUCCUUAAAAUUUUAUUGAAUCGUAAUUACUAUUUUUUUUAUAGUUGAAAUUUGUUUCCGUCGAGAGUACUGCAAUUUUCGUGUUUUGUUUGUUUGUUUUAGGUU